rnacentral:lncRNA from 1 species
GCCACGUUUUCCAACCAUAUCUCAGAGAGUGUUGUCUUUGGCCUCGGCAAGUUCUACGGUACCAGCCUCCCUCGCUGUCGGAUCUACAUCGACGUCAAGUGCAACGACCGCCUUGUUGACCCACAAUUUGCUUCUCCCUCUACCCUUCCGCACAUCGUCCAUGAAGACACCGCGGAUCUAAACGUCGGUGGCGUGAGUAACAGAUCUGGGCGCCGUCAGCAUGCACGACAAAUUUGGACCCUGACGAUGUGAGUGGCGGAUCUGUAACCCAACAGCGUACAGAACGGAUCUGUAUGUCAUCGAGUUUCCUCGACCCCUAAACGCCACCGUCUCGAUUUUUGAGUUCGGCUUCCUUGUAACAGUGUUGUUCACAGUUGAAAUUGAGGGAGGGAGAAAAAAAAAAUUUAGUGCAGCAGGUCCACCAUAUACUGUAUACUGAGGUGAAUCUAACGGUGUUAAAAAAUUUGUCCACGGUAAAUCAUUUGAAACACUUGACCACACGGUAGAAGCCGUCUUUGUUUCAAUCAAUUCUACCGUUAAGGGCAAGUGGCGGGAUUGCCAGCUGGGCAAUAUGUAACAGAAAGAAAAAAGUUACACAGUUUACCUGGUAAGUUGUAGUCCCUACUACAGUUACAUUUUGAUUUUGAUUGUUAAAUUAAACGAGAGAAUUUUGAUAACAGUGUAAACCCGCCACAAAAACAUUGACAGACGUCAACCACCAUAAUUAAAACUUAUAAUUUCUCAUAUAAAUACUAAAAACUUUUAAAAAAGUGAAGAAAAAAAAUACUAGGAACUAAAUGAAUAGUUUAAUCAGAGAAAAAAUAAUGUGUGAUCGUCUUGUGAUUCAUUUGCACCAGACUAAGCAACAAUAAAACCACCACCAUUCUAAUUGGAACAAAAUCGGGUAUUUACAAAGAGAGUGCUUUUGUUAGUGGCAUUUGUGUUUCAAAACACAAGGGCCGACACAUUGGUCAAGGUGAAAUUAAUUUGGAACUCGCAUGGGCAAAAAUUCAAUGAGGCUAAAUAUAUUUACAUCAAUGAAUGAAAUAUCAUUCUGGCCAGUGCCUAGUUACAAUUGCAUACCUACAUAAAAUACAACAUGAAAAUCAAUAAUAAAUAUACCUAACUGUCUGACCGGCAAAAUAAUAGAGGCAAUGUAUCAAGCUUACAAUGUCAACUCUAUAUACUAUGGGUAAUUACAAAAGGUUCGUUGAACUAUGUAGUAAUUUAGUUGGAAAUUACCAAUCAACCAAGAGAAUCACUCUCCUAUCUUUGAUAUCAUGAUCAGCAAGUGCACCAUGUAACUACAAAUCGGAUGACAAUCAAGAUUGCUGCUGUCCACGUAAAGAGAAACUCGUGUUUCCAAUGUGGAUAAUGUUGCGGCGUUGUCAUCUAAAUCCGGAGAUGAAAUAUUGAAGCAAACUGUCAAACUAAAGUAAUAAUCAUGAAAUUGUGGACUUCUGAUGUGAACUAAGAAACUGAGCGCAAGAAUAUUCGGACAUGAAUUCUGGAAGAUCAAUUUCAUCAACGUCUAUGGCAGGAAUUGCCAUAUCUAUGUCUUCGGCAGAGAAAGGAAUGCUGCAGCAAAAAAUUAAGGUUAAGACAAAGGAAUCUCAAAUGGCAGCUGUUUGACUCUCGAGGUGCAAAUACAGUUUGGUGCAAUUUUAAAUUUAAUUUCCAAAUAUGUGUUAAUAGCAGAAAGCCACGAAUCUCAUCUAUAAAUAUGCAUGACUUAUAUUCAGGUUUACAUUUUAAUGAUUUUAAGGGUUAACGAGACAUAUUUCGAGCAAAUUUAUUCAUUUUUAUUUUAUUUGUGAAGUUGUAGAUGUGGGCAAUGACUACCUACCCCUCUCUACUUCUUAUUCUAACUAAAUUGAGUGAAUUCCUUCUUUCUCUCUCUCUCUCUCUCUCUCUCACUUCCCACAUAAGCAUUUUGUUAUACUCGCAUUCCAUUUGACUUUUCCUCAUCAGCAUCAUUAUUCCUCACGUUGUCAAGCAUAGGAAAUGUCUAAUAACAGCUAGUAAUUCUCAUAAGCAAUAGAUUGAGUCACAAUAGAAAAUUCUGUCUCCAAGACGAUUUCUUUGAUUAUUCAUCAUGAAACAGAAACGCAACAAACUGAACUAGAAAGUAUACCAGUUAAUAUGGACAUGCUGCUUGACAUAUUGAUUUAGCUUCGUCUCACAAUAAAAUAACAGGUCAAAAAAUAAGUAAAACUUUUUUUUUGAAAAAAAAAUAAAAAUAAAAAUGUCAUUGCUUUGUGGUACGAUAAUUUCAAUUUCAAUAACUAGAAACAGAACAGAAAUCCAAUUCAAGUAAAAACUGGCCAGAAAUAUCCAGAAGCAAGGGAAACCAUUCAUUUUGAUUCAUCCAGCAAUCACAGGAUAAAACUGCAAGUAAAUGAAAAGAACUUCAAUGGGAGAAGGUGGUGUACCUCAGAUCAUCAUCUAAUAAGAAAGAAUUUGAGGUCAAAUUCUGAUUGUCCUUGCUGACAAUUUCUCUCAUUUCACUAACUACCUGUUUACCAUAUACUGUUAAGAACUCUGAAGAAACUACCAUCAUAGUUGUAUUUUGAAACAAGUUAAAGAACACAACUUGCCUCAUUGGACACACUCUGGGUUCCAUACUUGUCAUCCCAGUACAUUGUGCUGAUUCGAUAGAUUUGCCUCACAGUCAAUACCUGUUGAUGAAAUGUAUUUAGCUUUCUUUUCAAUUUUAUAUGUUUAGAUGAACUGUAUAUCAAGAAUAUUAUAUUCAUUACACAUGCGAGACAUCAGACAUAUGCUAACAAAUGAGAUGAAAGGAAUAUCUUUGUAGUGAAUGAGACCAAACAUGCUCCCUUAACAGGGAAGGAAAGUCAUUAACUGUUUGUUUCAUAUUCUUAGAACAUUUAGACAUGAGAGGCACUGUUAAUGAAGAUACCAGCAUAAUUGUCUUACUUAAAAAGAAAAUUUUCAACAAAUAAAUGUAUUACUAUUAACGAUCAAAUAAAUUUUUAGUCAAUCACUCUACUAAUAUGUUAAGAACAGGAGGGAGAGCAGGGGACCAGGACUCAGGAGUUCAUAUAGGCAGCAGGGGUGCUGUGAACACUGGGGAUCAGGGAUAUAACAGCCUGCAUAUGGGGGAGAAGGCAAU